UACGGCCAUAGAACAUAGAAAGCGUCGCAUCCCGUCAGAUCUGCGCAACUAAGCUAUGUAUCGCUCGGUUAGUACCAAGGUGGGGGACCACUUGGGAAUCCCGGGUGCUGUAGUU